rnacentral:rRNA from 1 species
GAUCCUGGCUCAGAUUGAACGCUGGCGGCAUGCCUUACACAUGCAAGUCGAACGGCAGCGGGGGAGCUUGCUCCUGCCGGCGAGUGGCGAACGGGUGAGUAAUGCAUCGGAACGUGUCCUGUUGUGGGGGAGUAACUGAUCGAAAGAUCAGCUAAUACCGCAUGAGACCUGAGGGUGAAAGCGGGGGAGUCGCAAGACCUCGCGCGACAGGAGCGGCCGGAUGU